UUCUUGUGGACCUGGGGUAUGUUUUCAGGAACCACAGACCUAAGAGGAUAUUCACUGCCAGUAGAGGGUGCUGUAGCUCCUAAGUCUGCUGGGCUCUGGAGUUAUGGGAGAGUACCCACUCAGAGGAGAGGAGCAUGAACACAUUGAUCUUAUUUGGACAGGCUUUUGUCUGGGACACAUCCAAACCCAAACAGCCAGGGGAAGUACCACAACAGGGUGUCCAUGGUGGAGAGAGUGGCUAUCUUCAAGUACCUCAGUAUCCGUAUCCCCUGAAAUACUGAGGAAUUUGUACUCCUGCAUCAUUUAGAGGAUCUUGACAGGGAGCAUCACUACCUGGUAUGGAAGUACGACUGCAUUUCUAUCCUGCCUAAAGACAUUUAUACCAGACACUGCACAAAUAAGGACAGUGGAGAAUCAUUAAGGGUCCCAGCCACCAGGAUAAUGGCCUUUUCUGUCUGCCACAAUCAGGACGAAGGGUCCAGGAUCACCAGGCCAGCACUGAGAGUCCCUGCCAUCCAUAAAUGAAGACACUGUCUAAGACUUCACCAUAAGAAUACCUUUCUUACUUACUUACUUACUCCGUAUCAUUAUUAUUGCAAAGCAACAGGUUCCUGCUUUUUUUCCCCAUCUGUUUAGAAUAAGGCAGCAUAAAAUCAUUUCAAUCACGGAGCCAAAUUUACGAUCAACUGAUUGCACAGAUAUGCAGUUCUGCAGCUUCUUGGCUUAUUGGCUGUUUUGACUGCAUCGCUAUCUUUGGCUGCAUGAAAUAACCACUUACUGGAAUAAAAGAAACUGUGUUAUACCUCA